GUGGGGAAUCUUGCGCAAUGGGCGAAAGCCUGACGCAGCCAUGCCGCGUGAAUGAUGAAGGUCUUAGGAUUGUAAAAUUCUUUCACCGGGGACGAUAAUGACGGUACCCGGAGAAGAAGCCCCGGCUAACUUCGUGCCAGCAGCCGCGGUAAUACGAAGGGGGCUAGCGUUGCUCGGAAUUACUGGGCGUAAAGGGAGCGUAGGCGGAUAGUUUAGUCAGAGGUGAAAGCCCAGGGCUCAACCUUGGAAUUGCCUUUGAUACUGGCUAUCUUGAGUGUGGAAGAGGUAUGUGGAACUCCGAGUGUAGAGGUGAAAUUCGUAGAUAUUCGGAAGAACACCAGUGGCGAAGGCGACAUACUGGUCCAUUACUGACGCUGAGGCUCGAAAGCGUGGGGAGCAAACAGGAUUAGAAACCCGUGUAGUCC
rnacentral:rRNA from 1 species